GUGUAAAGUCCAGACCAUGAAGAUCCGGUAUGUGGCUGUGGCUAAUGAAGAGAAAGGUCUUUAAUCCUCGGGGUCAAAAGGAGGAAAAGUACAGAUAAGGAAAGUGGGGCCUACGAGAGCAUAACUUACACAGAGAAUCCAAGAAAUAAACCAAGAGCCAGGAUCACAUGAUGGGGGGCUGAAGCUGGUCUACAUGCUAAUGAUCUGCUAGGAGUUCCAGCCUUCCUCUCAGCUCUGCUGCUUCGUGCUCACAGAGCCCUUUCUGGGUCAGUGACACUUGGUGCGAUCUGCAAACAGCAGCAUUAGCAUCGGGAGGAAGACUGCUGGAUAUAGUCACUCAGGCUCCAUUUUGGACUGACAUCAGAACUUCUGGAACUGGCUCAGUCACCCAUGAUUCUUCUGUAGCCAACACUAGUACAUCCUUGACUUCAACCGCAAGCUUCCAAGAGGAUAUAGCACACAUCUUCCUGGCCUAAGUGCCUGUACCUCUGACUGGUUGUGAUGAAGCAAAGGACCAAUAAAAGAUCAAUGACUGAA